UUACGGCCAUAUCACGUUGAAACAUCAGUUCCCGUACGAUCAGUGAAGUUAAGCAACGUUUAGACUGGUCAGUACCUAGAUGAUUGGCGUGUGGGAAUAGAAGGAGCUGUAAU